rnacentral:rRNA from 1 species
UACGGAGGGUGCGAGCGUUAAUCGGAAUAACUGGGCGUAAAGGGCACGCAGGCGGGCUUUUAAGUGAGAUGUGAAAUCCCCGGGCUUAACCUGAGAAUAGCAUUUCAGACUGGGAGUCUAGAGUCAUUGAGGGAGGGGUAGAAUUCCGCGUGUAGCGGUGAAAUGCGUAGAGAUGUGGAGGAAUACCGAAGGCGAAGGCAGCCCCUUGGGAAUGUACUGACGCUCAUGUGCGAAAGCGUGGGGAGCAAACAGG